UGUACACACAGCCCAGCUCAGAGUGGCAGAGCCUGAGAAGGGAAAGAACAGCUUUCACGUGGAAGGUAGAGCCCCACAUAGGGUACUGGAGCCCAGGAUGGGUAAGAAGAGUGUCUGCCUGGGGGAAGCACAGCAUGGAGGGUCAGAGCCCUAAUCUCCCUGAUGCAUCCAUUCGCAAUGAGUUCCCUGAGGUCACAUAGUUUGCUUCAAAUGGAGCAUGCAGUUCUACAAAGAAGACAUUAAAAUUGCUUUUUAGACAGCAACAAAAAGGAGAGAACUAUAGCUACGUGAAACAUCAUAAGAAUCUCAAAAACAUCCUCCACACUUAACCACCAUUCCUGACCAUCUGGCAGCUUAGGAACCACUGUGUCCCUUCAAGAAGAGUCUGACUAUUGGAGGAGGUCAACAAGAAGAUGUGACCAUCAGUUGACCCACAAGCCGGACUUGGGCAAAUGGGGGCUCCCCAUCCCCUCCUGUGUCCUUGGAAUGUGUAGUCCACUUGCCUUCCCUGCUCCCAGAAGCUGCACCCAGGAUAUAGCCUUGAGAUAGAAAUGUGGUGUUGAGGCUAGGCAGACCGGGUACAUAACUGAACCCAGUUCAGGCCUCUAUAUAACUUCUAAGAUUCUGGAGGGUGGGU